UCCAGGCUCCACGCUGCAGGUACCAAGAGGAAAACUGUGGCAAAAAUCAACAUCAUGUUCCUCAUCUCCUGAAGACAUCAGGUUCCUCUGUGACGUUACUUCACUCCAGUAAGAGAAGCAUCGAGUCUGAUCCUCCCCUUAAUCCUCAGGUUUUUUUUUAUUGUCUCCGCAUUAACAUCAAAUGGCCUUUAACGGUUUCUCCUUCAGCCUCUUUUCUUCUCAUCCAGACUGAGUGUAAAACAGUGAUGGCCCUCAUGUUCAAGAAAUGUAAAGGGCGAAUAUGACUUAUAAAUCCCUCCCUCCUUUUUUUUACUCUUCCCCUCUCUCCAACUAGCUUACCACACAAGACACAGGAUGUCUUCUGAUAAGACAAGACACCAGUUUCCUGUCUAUGUCACAUGAUCACCCUCUUUGUGCUGAUAAUGUGAAAAAAACAAGAGCGAUGCCAGCACAGAUGUAGAAGUAGGGCAGCCAGGCCUCAGCCUCAUCACCAGGAGCGGACAGAGACACAGCCACAAAAGAAGAACCAGAUCAAUAAGCCUUAUUGAUUCAAAUAUAUUUAUGAUCACUAAUGAUUAAAGUUUCUUACCAGCAUCAUUCCUGCCGAGGAUGUGACGUACGCCUCGAUUGACCACAGCACUGCCAAAGGACCGAGAACAUCCAGAGCUGUGAGUGACGACUGUGAAUAUGCCACAGUUCAGGUCCCGGCAGCGCCACAACCUGAACCCGAGUGUGGGUCCUCAUCCAAAGAAGAAUGUGGAGAUGAUUAUGUGCUGAUGGGUUGAAUAUGAAGUUCAUUUGGACCAUUGACGGAUGGAGAACUGGCAGAUAAUAUCAUACACUUGCAGUGUGCUGUUUGACUGAGACAUUUCCAGUUGAACUGAUCAAAUCUUGAUUUUCCAUGACCAAAAUGGGACAAAAUGAAAAAACAAAACCCUUCAAAUCCAACAGCAGCUGUAGAAAAAUAACCCCUGACAUGUUUCCCUUCACUUCUGAGGGAAUCUGACCUCUACAUUCCUCUGUGGUGCUUCUUUCUCAAGGAGAGAAACGUGUCUUGCCUCUUGACCCACAGAAACCCAACCUCAGGAGAACGUGAAACUGUGUACUCCUGACUUCCCAAAACAUGAACUAAAUAUCAGGAAGCACUAAGUCAGAGUCAGACUCGAUGCAUAAAGAUGCAUGAUGAUUAAUCGGUUCUUGGCCGUUUGUGUGUGUUUGUGUGUUAUAGUCAGAAUCACUGCACAUCACCUAGAACAAUAUAUUAAAAGUUAAGAAUCUUUAUUUUUCAUGUUUUUGUCUCAAUUCCUGCAGCUUUGUGACAUUAGCACAUUAUCUAAGAGUAAUAAAUCAUAGACAACUGAAAAAAACAUUAACAAUACCGUUUAUUCUGGAGGGGUUGGAAGUGGAACUGGAGCCAGUCUUCUAAAUAUUCUGAUUGAGCAGAUAAAGGUUUGAUCUUCAUCACAGUCUCAAACCGUAACUCCCCCUCUAACCAAAGUUUCAGUUAAGCUCAGAUCUAAUCAAAAAUGUGUAGAUAAAAUGUACACAUUUCAAAUCAUUUUAAAUGACAUAGUGCUUCCAAUACUGCUACUAUUGCACACCACUUAAACAUAAUAAAUUUUAUCUGAGACCUUGUUUUUAAAUUUGUAUUUGUUUAUUAUUUGUAUGGAAGCACUAAGUCAGAGUCAGACUCGAUGACAUUAAGAUGCAUAGUGAUUAAUCGGUUCUGGGCCUUGUGUGUGUGUUUGUGUGUUAUAGUCAGAAUUACUGCAUAUCACCUAGAACAAUAUAUUAAAAGUUAAGAAUCUUAAUUUUUCAUGUUUUCAUCUGAAUUCCCAAAGCAUGGUGCCAUUAGUACAUGAUCUAAGAGUAAUAAAUCCGAGAAAACUGAAAAUGGUGAGGAAUAAAAUCUCUAAUGUUUGUACAAUAAAUUGGCAAAAAAACAAAUCAAUGUUGACAAAAAUGAGGUGUUGAUAAAAUGUACACAUUUCAAAUCAUUUUAAAUGACAUAUUGCUUCUAAUACUGCUACUAUUGCACACCACUUAAACAUAAUACAUCUUAUCUGAGACCUUGUUUUUAAAUUUGUAUUUGUUUCUUAUUUUUUAUGUGUGUGCAUAGACCACAUCUUAGUCUAAGCCUGUAUCUCAUUGGAUAAUUUAUAUGUUUGAAAGCAACAUGAAGUGAUGGAUUAAGUGAACAGUUGUAAUUGACUGGAAUUUUCUUUAUUUCAUUGUGUUUUUUUUGAUAUUUUAAAGUUUACUAACUUACAAUUGUAUUUGUUAUUCUGCUGCAUUAAUCACCUGCAUUUCUGAAAAUAUCUGAAACAUUUCACAGCAGUGGUCCCUUCGACGUUCAUUAAACCCACGAGUAAGAUUAUUUGCUACA